rnacentral:rRNA from 1 species
AAUAGAUACCCCGGUAGUCCACGCCGUAAACGAUGAGUGCUAGGUGUUAGGGGGCUUGCCCCUUAGUGCUGCAGCUAACGCAUUAAGCACUCCGCCUGGGGAGUACGGCCGCAAGGCUGAAACUCAAAGGAAUUGACGGGGGGCCCGCACAGGCGGUGGAGCAUGUGGUUUAAUUCGAAGCAACGCGAAGAACCUUACCAGGUCUUGACAUCCCGCUGACCGCCAUGGAGACAUGGCUUUCCCUUCGGGGACAGCGGUGACAGGUGGUGCAUGGUUAUCGUCAGCUCGUGUCGUGAGAUGUUGGGUUAAGUCCCGCAACGAGCGCAACCCUUGUCCUUAGUUGCCAUCAUUCAGUUGGGCACUCUAAGGAGACUGCCGUACAAAUACGGAGGAAGGUGGGGAUGACGUCAAAUCAUCAUGCCCCUUAUGACCUGGGCUACACACGUGCUACAAUGGGCGGUACAAAGGGCUGCGAACCCGCGAGGGGGAGCGAAUCCCAAAAAGCCGCUCUCAGUUCGGAUUGCAGG